GGAGGAUCCAAGCGUUAUCCGGAAUCAUUGGGUUUAAAGGGUCCGUAGGCGGUCUAGUAAGUCAGUGGUGAAAGCCCAUCGCUCAACGGUGGAACGGCCAUUGAUACUGCUAGACUUGAAUUAUUAGGAAGUAACUAGAAUAUGUAGUGUAGCGGUGAAAUGCUUAGAGAUUACAUGGAAUACCAAUUGCGAAGGCAGGUUACUACUAAUGGAUUGACGCUGAUGGACGAAAGCGUGGGUAGCGAACAGGAUUAGAUACCCUGGUAGUCCACGCCGUAAACGAUGGAUACUAGCUGUUGGGAGCGAUCUCAGUGGCUAAGCGAAAGUGAUAAGUAUCCCACCUGGGGAGUACGUUC
rnacentral:rRNA from 1 species